UUUUCGUAUUGGCGUUAGCCUUUGAACUCGAUUUUUGGUUCUUGGGAUUGGGUUAAUUUUUCCAGGAAAAAUUUUAAAAGCUAAUAAUAAUGUACAAUGGAUGCGAUUACUUCCUGUUUGGAUGCCAAGAAAAUAAAACGAACCCAACUAAGCUGUUCUCCUAGCAACAAGCAAAGGGCAUUUCAUAUGUAGUUGGCUCAAUUGUAAUUUUCUCGACAGCCAAACAUGAAUUUGAAGGAUACUCAAGGAAAUGACAAAAAGAAAAGAAGUACCUUCUUUUUGGGUGCCAUGCCGACGACAGUGAGCGAUUUUCUGGCGGGAAAAACGCCGGCAAAGCGAGGUUCAGAGGAUAGGAAGUGGUUGGAUUCGAUCCCGCGAACACAUA